rnacentral:lncRNA from 1 species
UGGUAUCAUUACGCCCUCUAGCGGUAGAGUAUGUGAAUGAGCUAGCUACCAACUGCAAUUCUGCCAUGUGUGUGAAAAUCAAAAUCCAAGAAAAAAAGUUCACUUUGUCCUUGGGCAAGUGUUCAUUUAGCUAGAAAAAAUGUACUCACUCAAACUUUCGUGAUAGUGAAUUUCCUAUUGUCAUUCAAGUACCCAAAUAUCCCAUCUAAUGUUUCAUAGAAGGAUCAUUUAGCCUCCUGUGAGACUAGUUAUGAUGUACAGAGAGUGCUUUUUCCUUCUCCUGUCAUAGCACACACUACCUGAGAGACCUGAUGUUUAGACACAAAGUCUCACCAGUAGAUGACAAGCACCAAGAUCUAAGAUUAUCCCCUUAAAACUC